UACGGAGGGUGCAAACGUUGCUCGGAAUCAUUGGGCGUAAAGCGCACGUAGGCGGCCUGUUAAGUCGGGUGUGAAAGCCCUGGGCUCAACCCAGGAAGUGCACUCGAAACUGGCGGGCUUGAAUAUGGAAGAGGGUCGCGGAAUUCCCGGUGUAGAGGUGAAAUUCGUAGAUAUCGGGGAGGAACACCAGUGGCGAAGGCGGCGACCUGGGCCAAUAUUGACGCUGAGGUGCGAAAGCGUGGGGAGCAAACAGG
rnacentral:rRNA from 1 species